rnacentral:rRNA from 1 species
GACGAACGCUAGCUACAGGCUUAACACAUGCAAGUCGAGGGGUAACGAGAGGAAAGCUUGCUUUCCUUGUCGACGACCGGCGCACGGGUGAGUAACGCGUAUCCAACCUGCCCCCAACUAAGGAAUAACCUUGCGAAAGUAAGACUAAUACCUUAUAAUUUCCUCAGAUGUCAUCUGACGAGGAAUAAAGAUUUAUCGGUUGUGGAUGGGGAUGCGCCUGAUUAGCUUGUUGGCGGGGUAACGGCCCACCAAGGCAACGAUAAGUAGGGGUUCUCAGAGGAGGGACCCCCACAUUGGAACUGUGACAGGGUCCAAACUCCUACGGGGGCCGGCAGUGAGGAAUAUUGGUCAAUGGGCGCAAGCCUGAACCAGCCAAGUAGCUUGAAGGAUGACGGCCCUAUGGGUUGUAAACUGCUUUUAUACAGUAAUAAAGUUAGCCACGUGUGGUUAUUUGUAGGUACUGUAUGAAUAAGGACCGGUUAAUUCCGUGCCAGCAGCCGCCGUAA